AGGAGUUUAACUACAAACACCGCGACACGAGAAUUUUAUAUAUUAGAUAUACAUUAUCUAUACUUUUUUGCAUGAAUAUGGAAGCCAGGCUGGGUAGCAGUCUUUGAAUCUGAAAAAACAAAGGUUCUGUUACAUUUAAUACAUUUUUGCAAUGAUUUUUUAUUUGGUUACUGAGCGCCCCUACUGAAAAUUUGUGUUUUUUGUUUAGUGACGGUUUGGUCAUGGACGUCGAAUAUGUAGUGGUUCGAAUAGUAGGUAUACAGAUUUACGACGUCCGUAUAUAAGCUGUUCUGGCUUUUGACCCAAUCCAGGCUACAC